GGGGAGUGACGUCAAGUCAUCAUGCCCCUUAUGUCCUGGGCUGCACACGUGCUACAAUGGUCGGUACAAUGGGCUGCGAUGCCGCGAGGCGGAGCGAAUCCCAUAAAACCGGCCCCAGUUCGGAUCGGAGGCUGCAACUCGCCUCCGUGAAGUCGGAGUUGCUAGUAAUCGCGGAUCAGCACGCCGCGGUGAAUACGUUCCCGGGCCUU
rnacentral:rRNA from 1 species